rnacentral:rRNA from 1 species
UAUUGGCGCGUUUNANCCUGGCUCAGGACGAACNCUGGCGGCGUGCCUAACACAUGCAAGUCGAACGGAGUNUAGCAAUAACUNCUUAGUGGCGAACGGGUGAGUAACGCGUAGACAACCUGCCUCUUAGCUGGGGACAACACCGCGAAAGUGGUGCUAAUACCGAAUGUGGUAACUCGGUUGCAUAACGGAGUUAAGAAAGAUGGCCACUCUAAAGAACUAUCGCUAAGAGAUGGGUCUGCGUCUGAUUAGCUGGUUGGUGAGGUAACGGAUCACCAAGGCGACGAUCAGUAGCCGGUCUGAGAGGAUGAACGGCCACACUGGGACUGAGACACGGCCNNGACUCCUACGGGAGGCAGCAGUGGGGAAUCUUCCGCAAUGGACGAAAGUCUGACGGAGCAACGCCGCGUGAGUGAAGAAGGCCUUCGGGUCGUAAAGCUCUGUCGUUUGGGACGAACGUNGYCUAUGUGAAUAAURUAGACUAAUGACGGUACCAAAGGAGGAAGCCACGGCUAACUACGUGCCAGCAGCCGCGGUAAUACGUAGGUGGCAAGCGUUGUCCGGAAUUAUUGGGCGUAAAGGGCGUGUCGGUGGCCUGGUAAGUCGUGUGUCUAAGUGCGAAGCUCAACUUCGUAUGGGCGCAGGAAACUGUCCAGCUUGAGUGCAGGAGAGGAAAGUGGAAUUCCCAGUGUAGCGGUGAAAUGCGUAGAUAUUGGGAGGAACACCAGUGGCGAAGGCGACUUUCUGGACUGUGUCUGACACUGAGGCGCGAAAGCCAGGGGAGCGAACGGGAUUAGAUACCCCGGUAGUCCUGGCCGUAAACGAUGGGUACUAGGUGUAGAGGGUAUCGACCCCUUCUGUGCCGGAGUUAACGCAAUAAGUACCCCGCCUGGGGAGUACGGCCGCAAGGUUGAAACUCAAAGGAAUUGACGGGGNCCCGCNCNAGCGGUGGCGUCUGUNGUUUAAUUAGANGCAACGCGAAGAACCUUACCAGGGCUUGACAUUGAGCGAAAGGUUCAGAGAUGAAUCCCUAUCUUCGGAUACGCGAAAACAGGUGGUGCAUGGCUGUCGUCAGAUAGUGUCGUGAGAUGUUGGGUUAAGUCCCGCAACGAGCGCAACCCUUAUCCUUUGUUGCCAGCGCGUAAAGGCGGGAACUCNAGGGAGCUGCGGCANGAGAAUGCGGUGGAAGGCGGGGAUGACGUCAAGUCAUCAUGCCCCUAAUGUCCUGGGCUACACACGUNCUACAAUGGGCUUANACAAAGCGAAGCAAGCCUGCGAAGGUAAGCAAAACGCAGAAAUAAGCUCUCRGUUCGGANGGCAGGCUGCAACUCGCCUCCGUGAAGUCGGAAUCGCUAGUAAUCGCAGG